rnacentral:rRNA from 1 species
GCCAGCAGCCGCGGGAACACCGGCGGCCCGAGUGGUGAUCGUGAUUAUUGGGUCUAAAGGGUCCGUAGCCGGUUUGGUCAGUCCUCCGGGAAAUCUGAUAGCUCAACUAUUAGGCUUUCGGGGGAUACUGCCAGACUUGGAACCGGGAGAGGUAAGAGGGUACUACAGGGGUAGGAGUGAAAUCUUGUAAUCCCUGUGGGACCACCUGUGGCGAAGGCGUCUUACCAGAACGGGUUCGAACGGUGAGGGACGAAAGCUGGGGGCACGAACCGGAUUAGAUACCCGGGUAGUCCCAGCCGUAAACGAUGCUCGCUAGGUGUCAGGCAUGGCGCGACCGUGUCUGGUGCCGCAGGGAAGCCGUGAAGCGAGCCACCUGGGAAGUACGGCCGCAAGGCUGAAACUUAAAGGAAUUGGCGGGGGAGCACAACAACGGGUGGAAGCCUGCGGUUUAAUUGGACUCAACGCCGGACAACUCACCGGGGGCGACAGCAAUAUGUAGGCCAAGCUGAAGACUUUGCCUGAAUCGCUGAGAGGAGUGGUGCAUGG